rnacentral:rRNA from 1 species
GACGAACGCUGGCGGCGUGCUUAACACAUGCAAGUCGAACGGAAAGGCCCUGCUUUUGUGGGGUGCUCGAGUGGCGCACGGGUGAGUAACACGUGAGUAACCUGCCCUUAACUUUCGGAUAACUUCAGGAAACUGGGGCUCAUACCGGAUAGGAGCUCCUGCUGCAUGGUGUGCGUUGGAAAGUUUCGGCGGUUGGGGCUGGACUGGAGGCUUCUCAGCUUGUUUGUGGGGUAGUGGCUUACCAAGGCUUUGACGGCUAGCCGGCCUGAGAGGGUGACCGGGCUCAUGGGUACUGCGGGACGGACCAGACUCGUACGGGAGGCAGCAGGGGGGAAUAUGGCACAAUGGGCGGAAGCCUGAUGCAGCGGCGCCGCGUUCGUAAUGACGGCCUUCUGGGUGUAAACCGCUGUCGACUGUGACGAAGCGGGAGUGACGGUAAUUGGUAAAGAAGCACCGGCUAACUACGUG